GGCUAGAAACAAGGAAAGAGCUACGAUUUUGGGAGGAGAAAAAGGCAGCCCAAAACGUUACCAAACAGUCCCUAAGUUUCAGCUGCGCUAAAGGAAAUUCCGAGGCAAGUUUUGGCGAGUUUUGGUGAAUUUCGGGAAAGGUUCAAGAGACGACGAGGCGAGCAUAGUUAAGAGUAAUCCGUAAGAGGUACAGAUGAUUGGUUUGCUGAUCCGCUUGCUUAGGACAUCCACCAUGUUGGUCGACAGUGCUCCUUUGUCCGGAGCCCUAUUUUGG